rnacentral:rRNA from 1 species
CACGUAGGGGGCGAGAGUUGUCCGGAUUUAUUGGGCGUAAAGAGCUCGUAGGCGGCUCAGUAAGUCAGGUGUGAAAACUCCAGGCUCAACCUGGAGACGCCACCUGAUACUGCUGUGGCUAGAGUCCGGUAGGGGAGCAUGGAAUUCCUGGUGUAGCGGUGAAAUGCGCAGAUAUCAGGAGGAACACCGGUGGCGAAGGCGGGUCUCUGGGCCGAUACUGACGCUGAGGAGCGAAAGCGUGGGGAGCAAACAGG